AGUACUGGAGACUGAAGAGAAGAUGACAGGAUCUAAUGGGGGAGUCCAUGCUUGCUUGAAGGAGGAGAGAUAUGGAUCUGGACAAACCAGUCCUUUCCAUCAUGGGCUCCUGUGGAAAAUGACCCCAGCUCAGCUCAGUAGUUGAUGGGACAUCUGAUUCAGGUUGGACCCAGCCCAGACAUCUGAUUCAAACAAUAUUCUUCUCCAGGAAUUUUGUAACCAGCACUGGUAAAGGGAGGGAAGUGCUCCCCAGUGGGGAGAGCUGCAGAAUGUGAGACUUGGAAACCAAAGGCCGCCAUGUUUUCUGUCUCAUGAUGGAAUCCAAUCUUCUUUGGCGGGGAAAAUAAAUGAAGCCAACACCAGACAACAUAUAUCAAGCAGGGGCCAUUGCUCCAGCCUGACUCCAGGAAUCAGCAGACAGCGCAGCCUCAUUCUCCACCUGCUCCCUGCAGUACAGCCUCAGAACCACACAGUUGCAGCCAACCAGCUCCUGACAUGGAACUUGAGCAACAAAUGCCCUUUGUUUUUGCAAGUCCCUGAGAUUUGGAAGUUGUUACACAGCAUUCUCUCAGCCAGAAGUGACUGACAUGGUAUCAUUGCAGUCUUGAUCAAUUUGCCCUAUGCAAAGUGUUUUUAUAUGCCAUGAAUUUCUGAAGAUAGAACUACUGUUAUUC
rnacentral:lncRNA from 10 species